AACGAACGCUGGCGGCAUGCCUAACACAUGCAAGUCGAACGAGACCUUCGGGUUUAGUGGCGCACGGGUGCGUAAAGCGUGGGAACCUGCCCUUAGGCUCGGAAUAACUCCCCGAAAGGGGUGCUAAUACCGGAUAAUGUCCUCGGACCAAAGAUUUAUCGCAUUUGGAUGGGCCCGCGUUGGAUUAGCUAGUUGGUAGGGUAAAAGCCUACCAAGGCGACGAUCCAUAGCUGGUCUGAGAGGAUGAUCAGCCACACUGGGACUGAGACACGGCCCAGACUCCUACGGGAGGCAGCAGUGGGGAAUAUUGGACAAUGGGCGAAAGGCUGAUCCAGCAAUGCCGCGUGAGUGAUGAAGGCCUUAGGGUUGUAAAGCUCUUUUACCCGGGAUGAUAAUGACAGUACCGGGAGAAUAAGCUCCGGCUAACUCCGUG
rnacentral:rRNA from 1 species